UCCCUCGUGGCGCAAUUGGCUAGCGCGUUCGACUGUUAUUCUUGGUUCACUAGAACCACGAAGAUCGGAAUCGAGAGGUUAGUGGUUCAAUCCCACUCGAGGGAG